GAUGAACGCUGGCGGCGUGCUUAACACAUGCAAGUCGAGCGGUAAGGCCCUUUCGGGGGUACGACGAGCGGCGAACGGGUGAGUAACACGUGGGUGACCUGCCCUCAGCUCUGGGAUAAGCCUGGGAAACCGGGUACUAAUACCGGAUAUGACUCCAUGACGCAUGUUGGUGGGGUGGAAAGCCUUGUGCGGCUGAGGAUGGGCCCGCGGCCUAUCAGCUUGUUGGUGGGGUGAGGCCUACCAAGGCGACGACGGGUAGCCGGCCUGAGAGGGCGACCGGCCACACUGGGACUGAGACACGGCCCAGACUCCUACGGGAGGCAGCAGUGGGGAAUCUUGCGCAAUGGGCGAAAGCCUGACGCAGCGACGCCGCGUGA
rnacentral:rRNA from 1 species